rnacentral:lncRNA from 1 species
ACUUUCAAAUACGAAUGCCACUCGCGCUUAAGAAAACCAAUGUCAGCCAGCCAGAUUUUGGGAGAUGUGAGGUCUCCUUGGAUUCUAACGCAAAAAUGUGACCGGACUACAGAUAAUCACUUGAAAAGAAAGUCAUUCUUUUCCUAGCUCUCUCCAUUUUAGAUUUAAGUAUGAUCUGAAAGACUACAGGGUUAGCUUUUACAGUUUCUUUUAGCUAACGUUGGCAAUGAUGAUGAGCUUUUCAACGUGUUGAGAACCGAUAAACAACCUGUCGGCUGUCAGGUUUCCGGUUUCGUCUCUCAUGUCGUAUGUCGUGCGUCAGGAUUUUAGAUUCGAAUUCGUGCUGGAUGUCGUCUUGUGUAUUACCUUUCAUUGCCGAGCAAGUGAAUUGUGUUCGCUGAACUGACAAAUUAUUUCGUUGGUAUCGAAGGAGCUUCACCGCGUUAUCAGCUCAAAAGUCGUGAAAUUUAGUAAAUUGAGUGCGUUCUGACAGGUGAGCCUACAGCUCUUGGUUCAUUAUCAAUGAUGAUACCAAGCCUACGUAUUUGCUAUCAGCCUAACAAGACCUUGAAAGAGUCGAACUACAUGUAAAUAUAACAACAUAGCUUGAUAGUUUGCAGCAUCCAGUCAGUCAGUCGUGGAGUGAGCCAUGCUGAAGUAACGCGUGCUUCUGGUGCGGUGGAGAGAGAAGGGGCCACGUGAAUGUUGUGUUACUAGUGAGAGGUCUCCUCGAGAAUGGCCUCUGAUAGGAGCCGCAGCUCUUCGACAACUUCAGCGUGUAGUUUCCUUUCCUAUGGCUUUCCUGUUUGCUCUAAAUAUUGCCCUAAAACGAGCCGAAAAAGCACUAUCAACCAUAAAUGUUUGAAUACAAAGGAGGUAAGUAAGAGACGAACUAACGGGAUCCCGUGACUCUUGGGUUGCUUUAGGCCACGAGAGACGUUAAAGUUGGUCCAUCACUUUCUCCAUCUGUCUAUAACAAUAAACUAAUUGUGAUUACUCUAUACCCCCUUUGUCUUUUUCAACCAUUGCUUCGUCUAGCAAUUUCAACAUUCAGCCCUGUAGCAUGUUUUCUCUUCUUUUAAAGACUCUACAGUCUACACCGGCCCUCUACCCAUCCUUACUCUUAAAAAAGAAUGAGAAAAAAUACUUUCAUUGUAUGUUAGUGAACGACAACGAUGCAAGCGUUUGAGAGUGGCGUUAUCCCAAGGUCUUGCUGGGCACCCCGCCCCCUCGAAAGGAGGCACAUCGCGUAUCGAUCACGGCGGCGCUGUGCAAGGGCAAGGGGUUGAAACUGGGGCUGGGGGCCGUGAAAUGCUUUGUUUACGCGGUGCUUUUCAAGUGGGCUAAAUAUAAACGCAGGCUUGAUGUUGGAACGUGAGUGGUUUCUUCUUCUAUCCUUAAGGUGAUUCGAUGGACGCCAUAUUUCGUGUCAGAAC